CUAAUACAUGCAAGUCGUACGCUGAAAGCGCUCUGCUUGCAGAGCGCGGAUGAGUGGCGAACGGGUGAGUAACACGUGGGCAACCUGCCUGUAAGAUCGGGAUAACUCCGGGAAACCGGGGCUAAUACCGGAUAACCCGUGCCUCCUCCUGGAGGCGCGUUGAAAGGCGGCUUCGGCUGUCGCUUACAGAUGGGCCCGCGGCGUAUUAGCUUGUUGGUGGGGUAACGGCUCACCAAGGCGAUGAUACGUAGCCGACCUGAGAGGGUAAUCGGCCACACUGGGACUGAGACACGGCCCAGACUCCUACGGGAGGCAGCAGUAGGGAAUCUUCCGCAAUGGACGAAAGUCUGACGGAGCAAUGCCGCGUGAGUGAAGAAGGUCUUCGGAUCGUAAAGCUCUGUUGCCGGAGAAGAACAAGGACAGUAGUAACUGGCUGUCCCUUGACGGUAUCCGGCCAGAAAGCCACGGCUAACUACGUGCCAGCAGCCGCGGUAAUACGUAGGUGGCAAGCGUUGUCCGGAUUUAUUGGGCGUAAAGCGAGCGCAGGCGGUCCUUUAAGCCUGAUGUGAAAGCCCCCGGCUCAACCGGGGAAGGUCAUUGGAAACUGUUUCGCUUGAGUGCAGAAGAGGAGAGUGGAAUUCCAUGUGUAGCGGUGAAAUGCGCAGAGAUAUGGAGGAACACCAGUGGCGAAGGCGGC
rnacentral:rRNA from 1 species